AUAAUCAUGAUGUCCUAACGACAACAUCGAGAUCGUAUCACUUUGGAUUUUAUAUCUAGUGAUAGUGAUCAUAAGAUCUGCAAGUUGCAAAGAUCCAUAUAUAGACUCAAGCAAGCAUCUUGGAGUUAGAACAUUCACUUUAAUAAUAUGAUCAAAAUAUUUGAUUUCAUAAAAAAAUAAGAAGCCAUGUGUGUACAAA
rnacentral:lncRNA from 1 species